rnacentral:rRNA from 1 species
CAGGAUGAACGCUGGCGGCGUGCCUAAUACAUGCAAGUCGAACGAGGUGCUUUUUGUAGCAAUACGAGGAGUAUCCUAGUGGCGAACGGGUGAGUAACGCGUGGGUGACCUACCCCAAAGUGUGGAAUAACAGUCCGAAAGGAUUGCUAAUGCCGCAUGUGGUCUGCGAGUUUAGAAAUCGUUGACUAAAGGAGCAAUUCGCUUUGGGAGGGACCUGCGUCCCAUCAGCUAGUUGGUGAGGUAACGGCUCACCAAGGCUACGACGGGUAGGGGACCUGAGAGGGUGGCCCCCCACAAUGGAACUGAAACACGGUCCAUACACCUACGGGUGGCAGCAGUAGGGAAUAUUGCACAAUGGGCGAAAGCCUGAUGCAGCAACGCCGCGUGCGCGAUGAAGGUCUUCGGAUCGUAAAGCGCUUUUCUGAGAGAUGAGAAAGGACAGUAUCUCAGGAAUAAGUCUCGGCUAACUACGUGCCAGCAGCCGCGGUAAAACGUAGGAGGCGAGCGUUAUCCGGAUUCACUGGGCGUAAAGCGCGUGUAGGUGGUUCGGUAAGUUGGGCGUGAAAUCUCCCGGCUCAACUGGGAGAGGUCGUUCAAUACUACCGGACUUGAGAGCAGAAGAGGAAGAUGGAAUUCCCGGUGUAGUGGUGAAAUGCGUAGAUAUCGGGAGGAACACCAGUGGCGAAGGCGAU